rnacentral:rRNA from 1 species
GACGAACGCUGGCGGCGCGCUUAACACAUGCAAGUCGAGCGAUAACCAUGGCUUCGGCCAUGGGGAGAGCGGCGAACGGGUGAGUAACACGUGAGCGAUCUGCCCUCGACACCGGGAUAGCCCGGGGAAACCCGGAUUAAUACCGGAUGGCCUCUCGAGCCCACGGGCUCGUUAGAAAAGAUGGCUUCGGCUUUCGGUCGAGGAGGAGCUUGCGGCGGAUUAGCUUGUUGGUGGGGUAACGGCUCACCAAGGCGACGAUCCGUAGCUGGUCUGAGAGGACGAUCAGCCAGACUGGGACUGAGACAAGGCCCAGACUCCUACGGGAGGCAGCAGUGGGGAAUCUUGCGCAAUGGGCGAAAGCCUGACGCAGCGACGCCGCGUGAGGGAAGAAGGCCUUCGGGUUGUAAACCUCUUUCAGGAGGGACGAAGCCACUCGGGUUAAUACCCCAGAGGGUGACGGUACCUCCAGAAGAAGCCCCGGCUAACUACGUGCCAGCCGCCGCAGUAAGAC